rnacentral:tRNA from 1 species
CGGGGCGUAGCUCAGCCUGGCAGAGCACUUGCCUUGGGCGCAAGGUGUCGUCGGUUCAAAUCCGGCCGCCCCGACCA